rnacentral:rRNA from 1 species
UCGGCUUGUCAUCUGUGCUGGUGGAGACACAUGUGCACGUUGCAAGUCGCAAAUCCCACACACCUGUGCACCUAUGACUCUGAGUACCGCUUUGCAUGGGCCCCUCAAAGGCCCUGGUACUCGAGUACUUUUACACACUCUGGAUGUAAUGGAAUGUCUAUUGUACAAUGUACAACUAAAACAACUUUCAACAACGGAUCUCUUGGCUCUCGCAUCGAUGAAGAACGCAGCGAAAUGCGAUAAGUAAUGUGAAUUGCAGAAUUCAGUGAAUCAUCGAAUCUUUGAACGCACCUUGCACCCUUUGGUAUUCCGAAGGGUACACCCGUUUGAGUGUCAUUGUAAUCUCACCCCUUUGACUUUUUUGUUGAUCGGUGUGGACUUGGAUGUUGCUGUGUAACAAACGGCUCGUCUGAAAUGCCUGAGUGUACCCUGCUUUGCGGCGUAUUUGGUGUGAUAAAUCUUCACCAGAGUUGACUUUUUCAAGUCGCGCUUGUACCUGUGGGCUCUAUGCUUCCAACCGUCCUGACAAGACAAUCUUUGACAAUUUGACCUCAAAUCGGUCCGAGGGAACCGCGC